AUACGUAGGGGGCGAGCGUUGUCCGGAAUGAUUGGGCGUAAAGGGCGCGUAGGCGGCCCGGUAAGUCUGGAGUGAAAGUCCUGUUUUUAAGAUGGGAAUUGCUUUGGAUACUGUCGGGCUUGAGUGCAGGAGAGGUAAGUGGAAUUCCCAGUGUAGCGGUGAAAUGCGUAGAGAUUGGGAGGAACACCAGUGGCGAAGGCGACUUACUGGACUGUAACUGACGCUGAGGCGCGAAAGUGUGGGGAGCAAACAGGAUUAGAUACCCUGGUAGUCCACGCGGUAAACGAUGAAUGCUAGGUGUUGCGGGUAUCGACCCCUGCAGUGCCGGAGUAAACACAAUAAGCAUUCCGCCUGGGGAGUACGGCCGCAAGGUUGAAACUCAAAUGAAUUGACGGGG
rnacentral:rRNA from 1 species